GGAGAGCUGGCCGAGUGGCUGAAGGCGUGCCCCUGCUAAGGGUAUAUACGUUAAUAGCGUAUCGAGGGUUCGAAUCCCUCGCUCUCCGCCA
rnacentral:tRNA from 2 species